GGAGGGGUAGCUCAGUGGUAGAGCACGUGCUUAGCGCGCACGAGGUCCUGGGCUCCAUCCCCAGUACCUCCG
rnacentral:tRNA from 1 species